UACGUAGGGGGCUAGCGUUGUCCGGAAUCAUUGGGCGUAAAGCGCGCGUAGGCGGCCCGGUAAGUCCGCUGUAAAAGUCCAGGGCUCAACCCUGGAAAGCCGGUGGAUACUGUCGGGCUCGAGUCCGGAAGAGGCGAGUGGAAUUCCUGGUGUAGCGGUGGAAUGCGCAGAUAUCAGGAGGAACACCAAUGGCGAAGGCAGCACUCUGGGACGUGACUGACGCUGAGACGCGAAAGCGUGGGGAGCGAACAGG
rnacentral:rRNA from 1 species